rnacentral:rRNA from 1 species
AGCAGCCGCGGUAAUUCCAGCUCCAAUAGCGUAUAUUAAAGUUGUUGCAGUUAAAAAGCUCGUAGUUGAAUUUCGGGAUCAGUUCGUUGGUCGUGCCACCGGUACGUACUGGUCUCACUGAUUCCUCCUUCCUGAAGGACCGUAAUGCCAUUAAUUUGGUGUUGCGGGGAAACGGGACUGUUACUUUGAAAAAAUUAGAGUGUUUAAAGCAGGCUAACGCUUGAAUACAUUAGUAUGGAAUAAUGAAAUAGGACGAUCGAUCCUAUUUUGUUGGUUUCUAGGAUUGACGUAAUGAUUAAUAGGGAUAGUUGGGGGCAUUAGUAUUCAAUUGUCAGAGGUGAAAUUCUUGGAUUUAUUGAAGACUAACUACUGCGAAAGCAUUUGCCAAGGAUGUUUUCAUUGAUCAAGAACGAAAGUUAGGGGAUCGAAGACGAUCAGAUACCGUCGUAGUCUUAACCAUAAGCUAUGCCGACUAGGGAUCGGAUGAUGUUAAUUUUAUAAUGACUCAUUCGGCGCCUUA